UGACAGCAAAUGCAUUAUCAGAGAGUGCAGAUGAGUGUUACGCAAAUGGUAUGGACUCAUUUGUAUCAAAACCUGUCACACUUAAUAAUCUAAGACAAUGUUUUCAAGAAUAUUUACCACCGUCCUUGUAAAUUACCAAAUGAAAUGUAUUUGUAUAGAUAUGAUUGUUAUAGGAAAGUUUUGUAAUUCAUGUAUCAUAUUCCCCUCAGCCUAUUAGUUUCUACAAGUUCCUUCUCAUAGAUGUAGGUAAAGAGUUAACCUAGUUUUCGUUUAUUCUGAUGAAACUGGUGGAGAUAUUGACCAUUUAUCGAUGACUUGUUUCGAGUCAUGAUGUGACAAUGGCUCGUCAUUUACAACCGACUUUGGCUGUAGAGCAUGUGGUAGCAUGAACUAGCUCUCUGCAGAUCAUGAGCUAACAUGAGCAUUUGAGCUUUCUCAGGGUCGCCAUCCGAACCUUGUAAGAGGCUCACAGCUCUAUCAAUGUGGAAUCUUAAAUAAAUACACAAACCAAAAUCAAAUGUGGAAUCUUCUCUAUGUGAUUUGCCUUCUGUAAGAGCAGUUGGGUAACGGUAAUAUUAUCAAAAUCAUCACUCUGCUGCGGCCAAAUGUAUCAAAUCACUGGUUGGUUGCAAAAGUGAAUCUAGUAUCAAGCCGUUAGAGUCGACCAGAAAGCUGGUCCAUUCUAACGGAAUCGCAAUUUUCUCUGUUAGAUGUGAACGUGGCUGCUGACUGGUUUGAGCUGCGGUAUGCUUGCUGAAUAGGAGUGGCUUUAAGGGCCCAUUUGUUUACUUCUGAGUAAUGCUUAAUGAAUAAUCUGCUGACCGCAUCAGCCAUUCAGCUUAUUUGUCAUUCAGCUUAUUUGUCACUGAACUCUAGGAGAGCAUAAUGGAUAAGUUACUUCCGUUUUGAGUUUAUAACCCAGCGAUUCAGCACAUUAUUUGCGCACAAGUAACUAGUCUAAUCUGCAACCAAAAUUAUUUUUGGAUAUUCAUAAUAAUGUAUGCUUGUGAAAGAAUAUUUUAUAUUUAUAAUAAGUUCAGAUAUCAAAAAAAAAAUCGAUGUCUCAUAUGAUUAUAAUAUUACAAUAUCAAAUGAUAAACAAUUUUAUAAAUGAUAUAAUAAUCUGAGUAUAUAUUAUUAUUUUUAUUUAAAAAGAUACCCUCGAUGCUUCGCGGGUAAAAUGCUAGUCCGUUUAUAGUAAGGUAAGCCGGUCAGUGUGAGUCUAUAAGUAUUAAGCUUGCAUGACCUCCCUCACAAGUAAUUUAGCAGGCAAGGGAUAUAUUCUCACAAACCCUACUUGCUGCUUCAUCAUAUACGUUCUGAAAAUCUACAAGCCACACACCAGAAAAUUUAUUUCUCGAAAGGAAGAACAAUGGACAGAGAAGGCUGCCAGUGCGAAUGUUUGAAGAUCCCAGGGGUUUGUUUCGACCCCUCUGAUGAAGAACUUGUUACCUAUUACCUGAAAGAAAAGAUCGAGGGAAGGCCGCUCCAAUGCAAUCAUCUGAUGACACAGUUGCAGAUUUACGACGAUGAUCUGAUGCCAUGGGAAGUUCUCAAAGAUGAUAAUCCUUACUGGAUGACAUCUUCUUGUGAUUCGUUCAACAAAACUAAGAAGACUAUCUAUGUGUUUACGGAGUUGAGAAAGAAGAAGAGCCGUGUGAUAAGGAGAAGUGGCCGCGGUUCAUGGACGGGUCAGAAUAAUCCUGUCGUGAAGGACAAGGCAGGUAAGGGGAUUGGAUACAAUAAACUCUUAACUUUUUAUGAAGAUAGUGAUGACAAGAAGGGGAAGAAGGGCAAGAAGAAGAUUAAUAAUGAUAGCGAUCAUGGUCACUGGAUCAUGCACGAGUAUUCACUUUUUGGAAACGACAAGUUUGUUCUAUGUAAAAUUGUCAAGGAAGUGAGGAUGGGUGCAAAAGCUUCGGUGCUGUGUACUAAUGAAGGAACAACAACGCAAGAGGUACCGGAGAUGAUUUGUGGAAAGAAUGGACAGACAGAUGGAGCGUGCAUGGGUUCGGAUGGGGCAGAUAAUGUUCAAGAAAUUCAAGAUUUCAUGACAGCAGACGUUCCUCGUAUUGAAGCAGUAGAGGCUAACAAUAAAGCAGAUGAUGACAUGGAAGGCAACAAACAAAUUCUGGAUGACUUGUGGAAUUUGCAACUGGAUCAUGAUUUUUCACCAACAGACACAGCUUGGGUAGAUGAUUUGAUUUUGGACUUUUCUUCUCCAGAUUUGUCCGACUUAUGGCCGGUUGAAGAAAGCCAAGGGCAGGCUGGCCCCUAGAAGAGGAUGAGGUAGGGGGAGAAAGACUACGAGGAAUGUUUAAGUGGGAAGAAGCAACGGUGCAUUUAGAGUAAUCAUUAUACUAGUGUUCUUAUAUUUUCUGUGUGUUCAUGUCAAUAAACAUUUGUUCCAUGUUCUACAGUUGAUGAUUAACAUGUUUAAUUUUGAUACAUGGUUAUGUCUAGAACAAGUCCUGAAGUUGUAGAACGUUUAGCUGCAGGUCCUUAUCAUACUUUAAUUUGGCUCUAAGAAUAUUUAAUUCUCAAUCUUCAAUGCAGAGCAAAGGGACAAUGUACAUGAUAUUUAUAGACAGAAGAUUGCUGCUAUAGUUUUUAACUCUAUGUAUGGAUAAACAGAUGCAAUUUGCUUGAUAAACGUCUCGUCUUCUUUAUGUUUGCCCCUUUUUUUGGUUGAAUCUUGUGAAAUAAUGGUUCAGUGUAAAUGUGCUGCUGGUCUAAGCAAUGGCCACCCUUGCCCUUUUGUGUUCUCCCUUUAAAGUCAGUUUUCAGAGUUUUCUAUAAUGUUUUCUUCAUUAUAAUUUAUACAUAUAAUUAAGUGUAGUGUUCUGUCUUCAUAGUUGCAAGUAAUAUACAGAUUCCAGUUUCCUGUAUGCUGAUAAUUUCAUUGGUGGCAGAGAAUGGGAAAUACUGAUGAGGCUGUCCCUUUCUUUGGGGAAGGCUUCAACAAAAUUUAUCCACUUGCUAUUGUUAUUUAUACACUUUUGGGUGCUGGCAAUUUCUUUGAUCGGAUGAUGAAUAUACUUAAUUUUCAAAGCGAAACCAAUAACUGGAUGGAUUCGAUUCAUCAGGGUCACUUAUACUGCAAAGAGGUACCCUGCUAACGAAUGUUCUUUUGGUUUCUGUCAAGUAACAAUAUAAGGUUUCGUUUCCGCACCAAUCAAUUUCUUCAACAAUCUAUCCUCGGUUUUUUAUAAUUAAAAGACAUACGAGCUAACUAAAAGGCAUACUACCUGAUUUUUAUGUGAAUACAUGAGUCAUGUCGUUUAUUCGCGCUUUAGAUACUCAUUCUAGAAUAUCUAUCUUCACGUUAUAAAUAAACUAGUGCUAAUUAUCUCUUAAAUGUUUUAGAUGCAUACAUGUAUGAUUUUGUUAUUAUGUUCAAAAAAUUCCGGACUCAUAUACGUACUUUACUUCCUACUGUUAUAUAUCGAGAAAAAAUGUCAUCAUAUUGUAAAAACAUUCAAAACUCUCUUGUUAUUAGCUCAGGUUCCUAGUGUGGUUUGGGGGAGUUAUUUCUUAAUUACUACUUAUUUUUAAUUAAUCAUAUUCCUGCUCCUCAUAAUUCAGGUUAGUCUCUCUUUCAGAAAUUAUAUAGAAAUGUAUUUGAUCAUUCUCUCCUACAGUCCUACAUGUCUUGAUUCAACUUGUUUUGCUCUUCUACCUCAUGUUGAGCAUAUAAAUUUGUUUUUCUAGAAUAUGAUUUGUGUCUUCUCCGGUCUAGUGAAGCAAAAAAACACUCUCUGUGUUUCUUGAGCGAUAUUCCAUAUUUCUCGAUUCUUGCUAGUUUAUGACACGGACAAAUCAUAUUCAUACUGAUCCUCUAAACUCCGAGAUUGAAGAAGUUUACUUCACUUCAAGAGAUAUAUCAGACUCAUAAAUGUCUCGCCAUGUGUUUCUUGUCUACGUAAGCAAGUCCACUCGACUUCCCAGUUUUGUUUAUUCGACUUGUUCUAAAAAUCCAUAAUUUAAUCGAUUAAUCUCCAACAAUUUGAUCGGCUGAUUCGAUUUUUGAAAUCCAAUUAAUCUUUAUAAUUUUUUUUAAAUUGAAGUAUAUGUAAUAAUUCAUUAAAAUUAAAAUACUAUACUAUUUUAGUUAUGAAUAAUUAAAUAAUUUGUGAUGUAAUAAACAUGUAUUUGUUAAUAAAUAACUAAUGUAAUAAUAACAAAAUAUUAAAUAAUUUUUAAUACUGAAAUACAUCCGAUUUUCAUUUUGAUUAAUCUCUGAUUUUUAAUGAAUCCUGACUCAACUGAUUAUGUCCUAUUUUCAUUUUUGCAAGACUGCCCAUGCGAUGCGAUGCAUACAUAUCCCAAGACCUAGAUUCACAAUAGUCUAAGGAAAUGACAUCGAUUUGUUUCAUUUUAUUAAAACACGUACAAUCCAAAAAGUAAAGACUAGUUAGUUAUACAUGCAUCAUCCAGCUUGUGAAAUCAAAAUUAAAAAUAUACAUUAAUUAAUUUAAAAUAUUAAAGUAAUGAAUUAACUAAAGUUAUAACAUACUCUAAUAUAUAUUAAUUAGUUUAAAAUAUUUAGAUAUUUUAGCAGCUCCUUGGGAUCUUUAUUGUCCGUUGGAACGGGGAUCGAAAAAUAAACUAAUGCUAGAUGGGUAUCGCUAUAGAUUCAAAAAUUAUGAUAAAACUAAAACCCAUACUGUUCCUCGUAUUGAAGCAGUAGAGGCUAAGCAUAAAGCAGAUGAUAACAUGGAAGGCAACGAACAAAUUGUAGAUGACUUGUGGAAUUAUUUGCAACUAGAUGAUGAUGUUUCACCAACAGACACGGCUUGGGACGGGUCAGAUGAUGUGAUUUUGGACUUUUGUUCGACUUGUGGCCGGUUGAAGAAACCCAAGAGCAGUCUUGUCCCUAGAAGAGGAUGAUGUAGGGGGUGAAAGACAACGAGGAAUGCUUAAGUGGGAAGAAGCAAGGGUGCAUUUAAAGUUAUCAUUAUACUAGUGGUCUUAUAUUCUCUGUGUCUUAAUGUCAAAAAACAUUUGUUAUUGAUUCCUGCUUCCUUAAGUUAAAUUCAUAUUUAAGUUGUUAUUGAUUAAUAGUAUCUUUUUAAGAUUAUACAUAUACAUUAUUUAGCAAAAGAUUAACAGAUAGAGUAGAGUCUGUAAUUUGCAGCAUGUGUACACCAUUGUCACUAUACCUUGCAUAAAGAUCUCACCAUUAGUUGAAAACUGUUUUGCAUAUGCUGUUGGUUUGUCUAGAAGUGAUGGCUGGUUAAGAUUUUGGACGCAUAUAUAUAUAUUGACAAGAAAUUUUGUUUGAGAACAAAUCGAAAAACGCCUAAACUUACGGGAUACAAAGUGUAAAUUAUUCCAGAUUCAAUUACAAAUGGACAACAAUCUUUGUCUUCCAGAAAUAGAAUUCCUAUCACUGCAGUAAGAACUGAACCUUUCAUUUCCCAGUAAUAAGUGCAUAAGUUUUUUUCCUGUCGAAUGCCAUCCAUUUCCUUGUGUUAUCUCCUGUCCUGUGCGCGCAAAAUGCAUUCUAGUUAUACAUUAAGAGUUACGACUAUAGUGCACCAAUAUGGACUACAAUAUUAGACUACAUAGCAUAACAUCUGAAUAGGCUCUGUUCAGAUUUAACCAGAGUCAACAAAAAACUGUAGUAUAUCUUAUGUCAUUUUCCAAUAUGAAGGGAAGUACCUUUAGGGAAUUAAUCUUCCCGUAUUGAUUAUCUGACUUGCGAUGCUCGCGGCCUCCAAACAAAACUUCUAGGUGUAGUUAUCAUUUAAUUAUUUUGGCAUUGGGAUAUUAGCUUCACAAGAUUGCGACCUCUGGGCUCUGUAUUCCGAAUGAGCUUAACACAUUAACAGCAGAAUACUCAAUGAAGUAGCAGUGGCACAGAUCUUCUUUAUUCAAUUUGUAUCUAUUUUUACAAAUAUAAAAAGGUACAGUCCAGCGAAUAGUUAUCAGCUAUUUUUCCACCCAAUUUGUCUGAAACAUAAUUUCUACUUUAUUCCCCAUGUUUUGGUAUAUUCACGCGUACCGCUAAGCUGUUAUGUUAUACAAGAUGCUUCAUGCUUGUUGGUUACUUGGUGAUAUGUCUGUAUAAAAUAUAAAAAAGUUUUAUUUACAUGUUAAGCCUAGAGAUAAAGAGCUGCAAAUCCCAUAAAGAGGGUAAUGAAAAAGGAGUUAGCCUCAGUCUUUUAUAUUCUUAUGUUUACAGUAUACUUAAAAAUUUGUACUCUGUUAAGUAGGCCUUGCAUUUUCAUUAUCAGCACUAAUUGCUUCAUGCAUUAUCAUCGACUAUGAGAAAAUAUAAAUCCUUUUCUAUCAAUACGUGACUAACAGCAGACGUGAUAUUAUUGCAGAUGACGGCAAAUGCAUUAUCAGAGAGUGCAGAUGAGUGUUACGCAAAUGGUAUGGACUCAUUUGUAUCAAAACCUGUCACACUUAAUAAUCUAAGACAAUGUUUUCAAGAAUAUUUACCACCGUCCUUGUAAAUUACCAAAUGAAAUGUAUCUGUAUAGAUAUGAUUGUUAUAGGAAAGUUUUGUAAUUCAUGUAUCAUAUUCCCC
rnacentral:lncRNA from 1 species